GGUGAAGAACGUAGCGAAAUGCGAUAAGUAAUGUGAAUUGCAGAAUUCAGUGAAUCAUCGAAUCUUUGAACGCACAUUGCGCCCGCCAGUAUUCUGGCGGGCAUGCCUGUUCGAGCGUCAUUACAACCCUCAGGCCCCCGGGCCUGGCGUUGGGGAUCGGCGGAGCCCCCCGUGGGCACACGCCGUCCCCCAAAUACAGUGGCGGUCCCGCCGCAGCUUCCAUCGCGUAGUAGCUAACACCUCGCGACUGGAGAGCGGCGCGGCCACGCCGUAAAACACCCAACUCUUCUGAAGUUGACCUCGAAUCAGGUAGGAAUACCCGCUGAACUUAAGCAUAUCAAUAAGCGGAGGA
rnacentral:misc_RNA from 1 species